GAUGAACGCUGGCGGCGUGCCUAAUACAUGCAAGUCGAGCGAACGGACGAGAAGCUUGCUUCUCUGAUGUUAGCGGCGGACGGGUGAGUAACACGUGGAUAACCUACCUAUAAGACUGGGAUAGCUUCGGGAAACCGGAGCUAAUACCGGAUAAUAUUUUGAACCGCAUGGUUCAAAAGUGAAAGACGGUCUUGCUGUCACUUAUAGAUGGAUCCGCGCUGCAUUAGCUAGUUGGUAAGGUAACGGCUUACCAAGGCAACGAUGCAUAGCCGACCUGAGAGGGUGAUCGGCCACACUGGAACUGAGACACGGUCCAGACUCCUACGGGAGGCAGCAGUAGGGAAUCUUCCGCAAUGGGCGAAAGCCUGACGGAGCAAUGCCGCGUGAGUGAUGAAGGUCUUCGGAUCGUAAAACUCUAUUAUUAGGGAAGAACAUAUGUGUAAGUAACUGUGCACAUCUUGACGGUACCUAAUCAGAAAGCCACGGCUAACUACGUG
rnacentral:rRNA from 1 species